GGGUCAGUAGGUUGGUCGUGCCACCGGUACGUACUGGUCUCACUGAUUCCUCCUUCCCGAAGAACCGUAAUGCCAUUAAUUUGGUGUUGCGGGGAAACAGGACUGUUACUUUGAAAAAAUUAGAGUGUUUAAAGCAAGCUAACGCUUGAAUACAUUAGCGUGGAAUAAUGAAAUAGGACGAUCGAUCCUAUUUUGUUGGUUUCUAGGAUUGACGUA
rnacentral:rRNA from 1 species